UAUGGGGAUUGCGAGCGACCCGUGAGGCGACAGCUGAAGUUUCGCGUCCAGUGAAACCCAUGUUUGGGAGGACGCAUCAUG
rnacentral:ncRNA from 1 species